rnacentral:rRNA from 1 species
GACGAACCGUGCGAACGUUAUUCGGAAUCACUGGGCUUAAAGCGCGUGUAGGCGGAUGGGGACGUCGGUUGCUGAAAUCCCCCGGCUCAACCGGGGAACGGGCACCGAAACGCCCCCGUCUGGAGGGACGUAGGGGGACCUGGAACUUCCGGUGGAGCGGUGAAAUGCGUUGAGAUCGGAAGGAACGCCCGUGGCGAAAGCGGUUCUCUGGGACGGUACUGACGCUGAGACGCGAAAGCGUGGGGAGCGAACAGG